rnacentral:snRNA from 11 species
AAACUUGCCUAGUGUCGGGGUCAGGGUGAUUAAGAAUGUCCUGACCCCGGGUGGAGGCUCACCAGUGCAACUCGGUGGGUUAAAACCCUAGACAGGCGUGCUCGAGCGUGUAGAUUUUUUCAGUGAGGAGGUCUCACAGUUCUCU